AAUCCAUAGGUUAAUGAGGCGAACCGGGGGAACUGAAACAUCUAAGUACCCCGAGGAAAAGAAAUCAACCGAGAUUCCCCCAGUAGCGGCGAGCGAACGGGGAGGAGCCCAGAGCCUGAAUCAGCAUGUGUGUUAGUGGAAGCGUCUGGAAAGGCGCGCGAUACAGGGUGACAGCCCCGUACACAAAAGCGCAUGUGCUGUGAGCUCGAUGAGUAGGGCGGGACACGUGGUAUCCUGUCUGAAUAUGGGGGGACCAUCCUCCAAGGCUAAAUACUCCUGACUGACCGAUAGUGAACCAGUACCGUGAGGGAAAGGCGAAAAGAACCCCGGCGAGGGGAGUGAAAAAGAACCUGAAACCGUGUACGUACAAGCAGUGGGAGCCCCACCACCAAAGCAUUUGCUGUACCGCGUUGACGGAGCGAAGCGACGUCAAA
rnacentral:rRNA from 2 species